rnacentral:rRNA from 1 species
GGAUAACCUGCCCUUGGGACCGGCAUAACCCCGGGAAACUGGGGAUAAUUCCGGAUAACGCAUAUGUGCUGGAAUGCUUUAUGCGUAAAAUGGAUUCGUCUGCCCAAGGAUGGGUCUGCGGCCUAUCAGGUAGUAGUGGGUGUAAUGUACCUACUAGCCAGCGACGGGUACGGGUUGUGAGAGCAAGAGCCCGGAGAUGGAUUCUGAGACAUGAAUCCAGGCCCUACGGGGCGCAGCAGGCGCGAAAACUUUACAAUGCGGGAAACCGUGAUAAGGGGACACCGAGUGCCAGCAUCAUAUGCUGGCUGUCCAGGUGUGUAAAAUACACCUGUUAGCAAGGGCCGGGCAAGACCGGUGCCAGCCGCCGCGGUAACACCGGCGGCCCGAGUGGUGAUCGUGAUUAUUGGGUCUAAAGGGUCCGUAGCCGGUUUGGUCAGUCUUCCGGGAAAUCUGACGGCUCAACCGUUAGGCUUUCGGGGGAUACUACCAGGCUUGGGACCGGGAGAGGUAAGAGGUACUACGGGGGUAGGAGUGAAAUCUUGUAAUCCCCGAGGGACGACCGAUGGCGAAGGCAUCUUACCAGAACGGCUUCGACAGUGAGGGACGAAAGCUGGGGGAGCAAACCGGAUUAGAUACCCG